UACGUAGGGGGCAAGCGUUGUCCGGAAUCAUUGGGCGUAAAGCGCGUGUAGGCGGCUCGGUAAGUCUGCUGUGAAAGUCCAGGGCUCAACCCUGGGAUGCCGGUGGAUACUGUCGAGCUCGAGUCCGGAAGAGGCGAGUGGAAUUCCUGGUGUAGCGGUGAAAUGCGCAGAUAUCAGGAGGAACACCGGUGGCGAAGGCGGAUCUCUGGGCCUUACCUGACGCUGAGGCGCGAAAGCUAGGGGAGCAAACAGG
rnacentral:rRNA from 1 species